rnacentral:rRNA from 1 species
CUCUACAGCAGAUGCCACCCUGAACACACCUGAUUGUGUCUCAUCUCGGAAGCUAAGUAGGGUUGGGCCUAGUUAGUACCUAGUUUGGAGAAGCUGUGGUGA